GGGGCGGCAGGUAUCCUAGUGGUUAGAGUGGAGGGGCGGCAGGUAUCCUAGUGGUUCGAGUGGAGGGGCGGCAGGUAGCCUAGUGGUUAGAGUGUAGAGGCGGCAGGUAGCCUAGUGGUUAGAGUGUAGAGGCGGCAGGUAGCCUAGUGGUUAGAGUGUAGAGGCGGCAGGUAGCCUAGUGGUUAGAGUGUAGAGGCGGCAGGUAUCCUAGUGGUUAGAGUGGAGGGGCGGCAGGUAGCCUAGUGGUUAGAGUGGAGGGGCGGCAGGUAGCCUAGUGGUUAGAGUGGAGGGGCGGCAGGUAUCCUAGUGGUUAGAGUGGAGGGGCGGCAGGUAUCCUAGUGGUUAGAGUGGAGGGGCGGCAGGUAUCCUAGUGGUUAGAGUGGAGGGGCGGCAGGUAUCCUAGUGGUUAGAGUGGAGGGGCGGCAGGUAGCCUAGUGGUUAGAGUGGAGGGGCGGCAGGUAUCCUAGUGGUUAGAGUGGAGGGGCGGCAGGUAUCCUAGUGGUUAGAUUGGAGGGGCGGCAGGUAUCCUAGUGGUUAGAGUGGAGGGGCGGCAGGUAUCCUAGUGGUUAGAGUGGAGGGGCGGCAGGUAUCCUAGUGGUUAGAGUGGAGGGGCGGCAGGUAGCCUAGUGGUUAGAGUGGAGGGGCGGCUGGUAGCCUAGUGGUUAGAGUGGAGGGGCGGCUGGUAGCCUAGUGGUUAGAGUGGAGGGGCGGCAGGUAUCCUAGUGGUUAGAGUGGAGGGGCGGCAGGUAUCCUUGUGGUUAGAGUGUAGAGGUGGCAGGUAGCCUAGUGGUUAGACUGGAGGGGCGGCAGGUAUCCUAGUGGUUAGAGUGGAGGGGCGGCAGGUAUCCUAGUGGUUAGAUUGGAGGGGCGGCAGGUAUCCUAGUGGUUCGAGCGUUGGACUAAUAACUUAAAGGUUAGAAGAUCGAAUCCCCAAACCGACAAGGUAAAAAUCUACCGUUCUGCCCCUGAACAGGCAGUUAACCCCACUGUUCCUAGACCAGUUAACCCACUGUUCCUAGACCAGUUAACCCACUGUUCCUAGACCAGUUAACCCACUGUUCCUAGACCAGUUAACCCACUGUUCCUAGACCAGUUAACCCCACUGUUCCUAGGCCAGUUAACCCACUGUUCCUAGGCCAGUUAACCCACUGUUCCUAGGCCAGUUAACCCACUGUUCCUAGGCCAGUUAACCCACUGUUCCUAGGCCAGUUAACCCACUGUUCCUAGGCCAGUUAACCCACUGUUCCUAG